rnacentral:rRNA from 1 species
AACGAACGUUAGCGGCGCGCUUAACACAUGCAAGUCGUGCGAGAAAGGGAGCAAUCCCCGGUAAAGCGGCGCACGGGUGAGUAACACGUAGGUAACGUGCCCCCAGGUGGUGGAUAACCUUCCGAAAGGAGGGCUAAUACAGCAUAAGACCACGGCUUCGAAAGGAGCUGAGGUCAAAGUCGGCCUCUAUUCAUAAGCUGACGCCAGGGGAUCGGCCUGCGGCCCAUCAGGUAGUUGGUAGGGUAAUGGCCUACCAAGCCUAAGACGGGUAGCUGGUCUGAGAGGAUGAUCAGCCACACUGGAACUGAGACACGGUCCAGACUCCUACGGGAGGCAGCAGUGGGGAAUCUUGCGCAAUGGGCGAAAGCCUGACGCAGCGACGCCGCGUGAGUGAAGAAGGCCUCGGUUGU